rnacentral:lncRNA from 1 species
AAUGUGCUCACAAGUACAGCAUGGGGAAAGAUGUGACUUGCUAGUGCUUUACGUUAAAAACACCUGAAGGUUUUUGUUUUUGUUUUUUUUUCACCUGAAGGUUUUAACAAAGCCAUUGGUGAGAAGCAACUGUGAGAAAAGCAAAUACAGUCUUAGACGCAACAAGAUUUGGAUCAUGAACAGUCACAAUUAAUUGCACUCUGAGACUAUCAGAAAAUGUGUUGUGCUUCACAUUGGGUCCUGCAAGACAGACGCUGAUAAAUUAGGAUAUAAUCAGAAAAAGAUGCAUGGGAGUGUGAAGGUGUUUGAGCAACAUAUCCAAUGUGGAAGACUGAAAAGAAGAACAGAGAACUCUAUAAUUUCUUCUUUGGUAUACUGUCAUGUUUGAAGUCUCACUCCUAGGAAUUAUCUUGAUUCAGAAACGUUUUUGACUUUGAUGCAUAAGGAUGAAAAAACAAAUGAAGUGAGCCCUGUAUUUGCCACAAUUUGAAAUUGUGAAAUAGGAGACAGGAAAGUCCUGGAAAAAACAUACCAGAUUCCAUUCACGGAUUCCAAAGUAGAGAGGGUUUAGAGAAUUUAUGGCUGGGUGAGU